rnacentral:lncRNA from 1 species
UUUCUAUUUACAUACCUUCAAACUCAAUGAUUCUUUCAUUGGUCUUUUUGAGCCUAUUGCUGAGUCAGUAGAAGACACUAUUCAUUUCUCUUACCAUUUAUUGAUAUCUUGGAUUUCCAUUUAAUUUGUUUUCUUAGAUUUUACAUCUCCCAUCUUACAUUAUCCAUUUCUCUUGCAUAUUUUCUAAUUUUUUUCCAAUAGAGCCCUUGGGCCAUUGGGUUGUAUUUAAUAUUUUAUCUAGCUGUAGGUGUAAGAGGCUUCAAAUUCCUCUUGUUUUUAUUCUUUCAUUUUAGACUUCCCUAAGAUCUCAUUAAAUGGAGUUUUUGCCUUGCAGCUCUUUUAGCUGUAGUCCAUAGUUAUUACACUCUAGCCUUGUGUACAGAGUUCAUUGACCUUCCCGCCUUCCAAGGACACUGGGCGUGGGCCCUACACAAAGGACUAUGUCUGGGCUCGGGGCCAAAGAUGGCCACUUUAGCCCUGACUCUAAGGCAAAAGUUACAAAGAAUAUGUCCUGCGUUAUAUUCCUUGUCUGGGCUGGCCACCCCGACGGGCACCUGACUGGACCUUAGAAACAUGCCAUCUGUGGGAACAAGAAGAAAUAACUCAAAGUAUCCAAAUGUCUGAAACCCUGAGUCAGAACCUAGAGAAACCUUUGGAUAAAACCGAGUCAAAAGCAUAGAACAUUUGAGAGUCCCACUGUGGAAAGGACGCUUUGCCUCAGACCCAGACAAUUGGCACUCCCACCUGCCAUACAAACUAUUGGGACUUCCCCAGCUGAUUGUGGUGUGGAUGUUCCAGCUGUUAUAGAGGCUAAGCAGUCAAACGUACUGUUGUAUUUCAAGACUUCCAUAUCAGCCGCAUCAGCUGCAACAGAGAAUGGAACCUUGACCUUCAACAUGGAGGCAAGCAGACAUAGAGGAAGGUGUAGACCUCCCACCACCCCGACCUCCCACCUCCCCGACCUCCCACGAUUCAGCCUAACACACCCUCAUCAAUGCCACCUCUUCUGAGCCUUCCAGAGGGCUUGUUGUAUUUCUGAUCUGGUAUGUGAAACUACACUGUACAUACAUUGUAUCUACUUCAUACAGCCUGUGUGUUUAUCACAUCAUUUCCUUCUUUUGCUAUAUGUUAGUGUUAUUUUAGGUUUUAUGUGUUAUUUGAUAUGAUUUGGUGGAUUAUUUUUUAAGUCUGGGAAUGCUCAGACAUUUGAUAGUACUAAAGGAUUUGAUUCAUGAACAGGAUAUUACUAUUAGAAAUAUCUAUGCAACAAAUUAACAGCAGUGUUUCUGAAACAGAAAUUACAGGCGACACAAGGAGAAAUGGUAGAAAUAACACAAAUUUUGCAUUUCCUUAAACCCUCUCAGGUCAAGUUAAAUCGAGCAGAGAAAAAAAUAUUACAGCAAAGAUCCAAAGUGAAAAUCAAUGCAGUAUAAUGGAUUUAUAUAGAACAUCCUAGUCUGACAAUUGAAAGUAAGACUUUGCUUCAAGAUUCCAAGGAAGAUUCAUGUAAACUAGUAGUACAUUGGGUCACAAACAAAGCUUAAUACAUCCCAAAGUAUAAAUAAUGUAACAACAUUCUCUGACCACAAGUGAGUAAAAAUAAACAGAAAACAGAAAAGUUCUUCA